CAGAAAAGGGGGAGGGGGAAGAAGGGGAAAAGGGAAGAGGGAGAAGAGGGAAAGAGGGUGAUGAGGCAGAGACGGGGAAGAAGGGGAAGAGGGAGAAAAGGGGGAGAGGGGCAAGAAGGAGAAGAGGGGAAGGGAGUAGAGGGGGAAGAAGGGGGAGUGAGGUCCGGAUGAGGCCGGGCGGGCUAGGUGAGGUCGGCGUCGAUCCCUCCCUCCUCGCUCCAGCUCCUCCCCCUUCCCCACCCUCCCAGCCCCCAGCCCCUCCUCUCCCCUCCUGUCCCUCCCCCCGUCCCUGCUGUCCCUGCUGUCCCUGCUGUCCCUCCUCCCGGCGGCGGCGGGGGCGGCUGGGCCCGGCCCGGACCCAGAUCCCUCUUGUCCGGGCGCCAGCCCCGUGGGAAAGGACCUGUGGAGGAGGAGGAGGAGGAGGGAAAAGAGGAAAAAAAGGAAGAGGAGGCGCCCGGCAGAUUGGCCCCCUCUGGAGGCUUUGGGGACCAGUGGAACUGGAUCCUGGGGAGGCUCAACCUUCGGAAGUGCUCUGGAUCCGGAUGCCAGGGGCUGCAGGACGGACCAUCGACGAGAUGAUGCCAGAGGGGACGCCCGGCACCCCUGAACCGCGACACUGACCACUGUGGUUGGGAUGUGGGAAGGCAGAAAC
rnacentral:lncRNA from 1 species